UGGGAUUCGAACUCCGGACGACCUAUUGUGCUACUGCACCAUAUGUCAGCGCAUUGACCACAAGGCUAUUGCGCUGACAAUAUUCUUUUAUUUCAAAAAAGAUUAAGUUCACUUUAAAUUCCUGAAUGAUGCACUUAUUUAACCGUUUAAAAGAAGUGUGGACUGUGCACUUGGGGCUGUCUUUGUUUGUUUGCAGAUUGGAGUGGAGCAGAAGAAGGAGACUCACAAGCGGAAUGGUGGAGAUAUACUGCAAGACCUGGAGCUCAGGAAGCAGGUUGGCAUGGAGCAUGUGGAGGAACAGGGAAACGCACCUUAGUGUUUCUUUUUCCUGUAAUGGACACACAACAGACAGAAGAAGGAAACUCACAAGAGCAUCGGUGGAGAUUUGUCUGAAAACCGCUGGUUAACAGUUUAUGCAUUUCUGGAGUUCAGCAAGCAUGUAGAGCUCUGUUAGUUGUGUCUUUAUCUUUUCCAGGCUGGAGUGCAGCAUGUGGAGACAAAUAGGAAUCACACACCUCAGCAAUGGACACUGAUGGUCAGGAAUAUCCUUUAAAGGCAGAUGAAUGGGUGCAUGGAUGGAUGUCCUUCCAAGUGGAAGGGGGUGGUGGUGGGCAUAGAUUGUUAGAUAUAUGUAUUGUCUGUGGCUAUUA